rnacentral:sRNA from 1 species
AUCCAAAUGCUGGCGGCAAAGAAGAACAGAAC